ensembl:snRNA U6 U6 spliceosomal RNA
GUGCUCACUUCAGCAGCACAUAUACUAAAAUUGGAAUGAUACAGAGAUUAGUAUGGCCCCUGAGCAAGGAUGAUAUGCAAAUUUGUGAAGUGACCCAUAUUUUU